rnacentral:rRNA from 1 species
GACGAACGCUGGCGGCGUGCCUAACACAUGCAAGUCGAGCGAGAAUCUUGUUUUGAUUCCUUCGGGAUGAAGAAAUAAGAGGAAAGCGGCGGACGGGUGAGUAACGCGUGAGUAACCUGCCCUUUGGAGGGGGACAACAUUCCGAAAGGAAUGCUAAUACCGCAUAACAUAUAUUUAAGGCAUCUUAGAUAUAUCAAAGAUUUAUCGCCAAAGGAUGGACUCGCGUCUGAUUAGCUAGUUGGUGGGGUAAAGGCCUACCAAGGCGACGAUCAGUAGCCGAACUGAGAGGUUGAUCGGCCACAUUGGGACUGAGACACGGCCCAG